CAGAACUGGCAACCUGCCCGUCAGGACCCGCGAACGUAAAACCUACUGUUGCCUCGGCGCGCCUCGCCGCGCGCCGGCGGCCCCUAAACCCACUGAUCCUCGUGCCUCUGACUACCACACAAAACAAUAA
rnacentral:misc_RNA from 1 species